CCUACGGGGGACAGCAGUGAGGAAUAUUGGUCAAUGGACGAGAGUCUGAACCAGCCAAGUAGCGUGAAGGAUGACUGCCCUAUGGGUUGUAAACUUCUUUUAUAUGGGAAUAAAACGUUCCACGUGUGGGAUUUUGUAUGUACCCUAUGAAUAAGGAUCGGCUAACUCCGUGCCAGCAGCCGCGGUAAUACGGAGGAUCCGAGCGUUAUCCGGAUUUAUUGGGUUUAAAGGGAGCGUAGGUGGAUUGUUAAGUCAGUUGUGAAAGUUUGCGGCUCAACCGUAAAAUUGCAGUUGAAACUGGCAGUCUUGAGUACAGUAGAGGUGGGCGGAAUGCGUGGUGUAGCGGUGAAAUGCUUAGAUAUCACGAAGAACUCCGAUUGCGAAGGCAGUUCACUGGACUGCAACUGACACUGAGGCUCGAAAGUGUGGGUAUCAAACAGGAUUAGAUACCCCGGUAGUC
rnacentral:rRNA from 1 species